UACGGAGGGGGCUAGCGUUGUUCGGAAUUACUGGGCGUAAAGCGCACGUAGGCGGAUUGGUAAGUCAGGGGUGAAAUCCCGGGGCUCAACCCCGGAAUUGCACUUGAAACUGACAGGCUUGAGGCCGGGAGAGGAGAGCGGAAUUCCGAGUGUAGAGGUGAAAUUCGUAGAUAUUGGGAGGAACACCAGUGGCGAAGGCGGCUAUCUGGCCCGGUAUUGACGCUGAGGCGCGAAAGCGUGGGGAGCAAACAGG
rnacentral:rRNA from 1 species